GAUGAACGCUGGCGGCGUGCCUAAUACAUGCAAGUCGAGCGAACAGAUGAGGAGCUUGCUCCUCUGACGUUAGCGGCGGACGGGUGAGUAACACGUGGAUAACCUACCUAUAAGACUGGGAUAACUUCGGGAAACCGGAGCUAAUACCGGAUAAUAUAUUGAACCGCAUGGUUCAAUAGUGAAAGACGGUUUUGCUGUCACUUAUAGAUGGAUCCGCGCCGCAUUAGCUAGUUGGUAAGGUAACGGCUUACCAAGGCAACGAUGCGUAGCCGACCCGAGAGGGUGAUCGGCCACACUGGAACUGAGACACGGUCCAGACUCCUACGGGAGGCAGCAGUAGGGAAUCUUCCGCAAUGGGCGAAAGCCUGACGGAGCAACGCCGCGUGAGUGAUGAAGGUCUUCGGAUCGUAAAACUCUGUUAUUAGGGAAGAACAAAUGUGUAAGUAACUAUGCACGUCUUGACGGUACCUAAUCAGAAAGCCACGGCUAACUAC
rnacentral:rRNA from 1 species